rnacentral:rRNA from 1 species
AGUGGCGGACGGGUGAGUAACGCGUGAGAAUCUGCCUUGGGGUCGGGGACAACCACUGGAAACGGUGGCUAAUACCGGAUAAGCCGAUUGGUGAAAGAUUUAUUGCCCGAAGAGGAGCUCGCGUCUGAUUAGCUAGUUGGUGAGGUAAGAGCUCACCAAGGCAGCGAUCAGUAGCUGGUCUGAGAGGACGAUCAGCCACACUGGGACUGAGACACGGCCCAGACUCCUACGGGAGGCAGCAGUGGGGAAUUUUCCGCAAUGGGCGAAAGCCUGACGGAGCAAGACCGCGUGAGGGAGGAAGGCUCUUGGGUUGUAAACCUCUUUUCUCAGGGAAGAAGCUCUGACGGUACCUGAAGAAUCAGCCUCGGCUAACUCCGUGCCAGCAGCCGCGGUAAUACGGAGGAGGCAAGCGUUAUCCGGAAUUAUUGGGCGUAAAGCGUCCGCAGGUGGCGAUUCAAGUCUGCUGUCAAAGCACGGGGCUUAACUCCGUAAAGGCAGUGGAAACUGAAUAGCUAGAGUGCCGUAGGGGUAGAGGGAAUUCCCGGUGUAGCGGUGAAAUGCGUAGAGAUCGGGAAGAACAUCGGUGGCGAAAGCGCUCUACUGGACGGCAACUGACACUCAGGGACGAAAGCUAGGGGAGCGAAUGGGAUUAGAUACCCC